GUCUCGGAGACAUUAGUAUAGAUCGCUGUUCGAGGACAGUGCCAGUAUAUUUCGCAGUGUGAAAAGCCUAAGGCAGUCCUGGCCCGUAGCCCACCCCCCGCCCGAUGCGCACCGGGCAUCGCGGCGGGAAACUACGCUCGUCCCGCACUGCCGAGGGGCGUGUUCACACCCUGCCGGCGCGUCGCGAAGCCCGUUGAUUCGCGCCGCGGCGGAGACCACGCGCCGUAGGCCCCCGAGCCAGGCGGCGGUAAGUUGCACUCCGUCGCGAGCACGCUUGAGUCCGGGCCGGGCGGCGCGCCGAACCCCACUCUCCGCGUACCCGACCCCGUUGCUUCCCCGGGGGGAGAUCCCCCGGGGGAGGUCCCCCGAGCACACCAUGCCGCCCAACCCGCCCGCGUCCCCUCCGUCUGAAGGCCAGCGAGCCUACCAACGGGGAAUCAGAUAGGUAACGAAAACAAAACUUUCAACAACGGAUCUCUUGGCUCCCGCAUCGAUGAAGAACGCAGCGAAAUGCGAUAAGUAAUGUGAAUUGCAGAAUUCAGUGAAUCAUCGAAUCUUUGAACGCACAUUGCGCCCCCCGGCAUUCCGGGGAGCAUGCCUGUUCGAGCGUCUCUUGGAAACACCCCUCACGCCGGCGGAGGCGUGGUAAUGGCGGAGGUGGCGUGCCCCGAGCGGGGAGGCCACCGCGCCGGAAUCCAUGGGCGGACGCCUGCUGCGCGGCCGAGCGUGAUAUGACGCAUGGGCGCUCGCGCGCGGCGAGGCUGCCGGCCCUGGCCCGUCCUUCGGGCGGGGACAGCAACACGUGGGAACUCCUCGAAUCAGGUAGGGAUACCCGCUGAACUUAAGCUACAAUUAAA
rnacentral:rRNA from 1 species